GAUGAACGCUGGCGGCGUGCUUAACACAUGCAAGUCGAACGGAAAGGCCCAAGCUUGCUUGGGUACUCGAGUGGCGAACGGGUGAGUAACACGUGGGUGAUCUGCCCUGCACUUCGGGAUAAGCCUGGGAAACUGGGUCUAAUACCGGAUAGGACGAUGGUUUGGAUGCCAUUGUGGAAAGUUUUUUCGGUGUGGGAUGAGCUCGCGGCCUAUCAGCUUGUUGGUGGGGUAGUGGCCUACCAAGGCGUCGACGGGUAGCCGGCCUGAGAGGGUGUACGGCCACAUUGGGACUGAGAUACGGCCCAGACUCCUACGGGUGGCAGCAGUGGGGAAUAUUGCACCAUGGGCGCAAGCCUGAUGCAGCGACGCCGCGUGGGGGAUGACGGCCUUUGGGUUGUAAACUCCUUUCGCUAGGGACGAAGCGUUUUUGUGACGGUACCUGGAGAAGAAGCACCGGCUAACUACGUG
rnacentral:rRNA from 1 species